AUACGGGGGGGGCAAGCGUUGUUCGGAAUUACUGGGCGUAAAGGGCUCGUAGGCGGCCAUCCAAGUCGUACGUGAAAUCCCUCGGCUUAACCGGGGAACUGCGUCCGAUACUGGUUGGCUCGAAGCCGGGAGAGGGAUGCGGAAUUCCAGGUGUAGCGGUGAAAUGCGUAGAUAUCUGGAGGAACACCGGUGGCGAAGGCGGCAUCCUGGACCGGUCUUGACGCUGAGGAGCGAAAGCUAGGGGAGCAAACGGGAUUAGAAACCCCUGUAGUCC
rnacentral:rRNA from 1 species